GCUGACGAGUGAAACGAGGCUGCGAUCUUUUGAUCUUGUCUUUUGAAAAUCAAAAGAUCGCAGCCUCGUUUCACUCGUCAGC
rnacentral:antisense_RNA from 1 species